rnacentral:rRNA from 1 species
AUUGAACGCUGGCGGCAGGCCUAACACAUGCAAGUCGAGCGGAGCGGCGGACGGGUGAGUAAUGCCUAGGAAUCUGCCUGGUGGUGGGGGAUAACGUCCGGAAACGGGAGCUAAUACAGCAUAAUAUCAGUUGAGCCUAGGUUGGAUUAGCUAGUUGGGGGGGUAAAGGCCUACCAAGGCGACGAUCCGUAACUGGUCUGAGAGGAUGAUCAGUCACACUGGAACUGAGACACGGUCCAGACUCCUACGGGAGGCAGCAGUGGGGAAUAUUGGACAAUGGGCGAAAGCCUGAUCCAGCCACGCCGCGUGUGUGAAGAAGGUCUUCGGAUUGUAAAUCUCUGUAAUUUGGGAGGCGUUACCAACAGAAUAAGCACCGGCUAACUUCGUGCCAGCAGCCGCGGUAAUUC